UGUACACCACACAGGGUCCACUUCGAUGCCUUGGUUCAGGAUCUAGCCUUCCCUUCUUGUCUUCCCCGUAUCAUUCCCACUUGUUUUAUACCAUGUCACGAGUCAUGGCUUUAGCAUGUCUUUCUCAGCCUUUUCACCAACAAUUCUAUGGAGGUUAGGGCUUCGGCUAUAUUCUCCUGUUACUGUCUGUACAACUUUAACAGGGCUGACUCUACUGGCUCUUACAGGCUUCCUUCCGUGAAUUCUGAUCACCACCAUGGAAGACUCCUGCCACUUGUCAGAAGACUUGGCUUUCAGUAAACACUUGAUGUCUAUGAAAAUCUAACUGUCUUGUUAGAGAGAGUGAUUUCUGCAUUUGGCAUUUGAAAGACUAUGGAGGAGGCUUGAGUGGCAUUGCCACCAUGUUUCCUGAGCACAGAGGACAGCUUUGCAAAGACACUGCUUGGAAGUGGACUGCGCUUCUUAGAUAUGUAGCCAUCUUCUGGGACCUGCCAGCCUUGGAGAGAGAGAAGAUCCAGAAUACUACACGCCGAAAACACACUGUAUUAGAGCAGACUGAGAUCAGAUUGCUGGGGAAAAAUAAAGAUGGAUAAAGUUAAGUAUGACCUAAAUCAACAUUUCAAGAUGCACAGGGUGGACUAAGGGUGCUGUUCUUUUUGAUGAAUAGCAAGGACAAGAAACAUCUCUUGUGAAUCACCAGGCAGGUGUUUGCUCUCUGGGGAAGUGACAGGAAACUCAUCCCUGACCUGAGGUUACUUGGAGGAAAGAGCUUCUUUUGGUUUUGUUUCUCAGCUUGGUGUACAAGUCAGUGCCCUAUCUAGGGAAGAAGAAUGCAGAUGAUCCUUGGAUGUCCCCAAGGGAAGAAUGACCACACUAUUACAGAAUUAAGGUCAUCUAGAGAUCCUGUUUCCUAUUGCACAUGAAUAUGGAAUUUGGUAACAGAAUAAACAUGACAUUUGGAAUGUUCCUAGAGCAUACUUAGGGCAACUGGCAAGGCUGACAUAGCUUUUACUGAUCUGUCUGUUUAGUGAGUGGACAGGAUGCCAGUCUGGCAGUUUGCAUUGGCAAUAAAUCACUACUAGACAUUUUAUUUAAAAUCUGGCACUGGCUUUGGAGAGGUGAGGGAUUGUCAAUUUGUUUUUAUUUUGAGGCCAGGCACAAUCAUAACACAAACAGGCCACCUGGAAACUUUAGCACAUAUGUAAAAGUGUGGCCCUGGUCUGUGGCCAUUGCGUGCUUGGCAGGAGCAGGGAGAGGUAAAUGAGAGUAAGCACUGCUGACCAGGAAGACCCUGGCAGACCUGUGCAGCCCGAGGCAGCCCUGCUGGAAACCACGCUGGAUCCCAACGUGUGAUAUAGGAAGGCUAUCAUCAGCAUAAUAGAUGAGAUAAAAUUUGGUUUCCUCUUUUAUCAUGAGAUUCUCACAGAGUACAUUAGGAACACAAGCAAUGCAUUCCAUCUGAGAGAGAGAGAGAGAGAGAGAGAGAGAGAGAGAGAGAGAGAGAGAGAGAGAGGUCACUCCAACAAUAAAGUUAAGUAUUGAGUUGGUUUGUUCCUGCCUUUGCCAUCCUCCACCUCAUGUCUUUUCUUCUCUUCCUCUGGUUUUCUGUCUUUAUUUUGUCUUGGAUUGCCCCUUUUUAAAAGGAUAAAUUGUGAUCAAUGCCUCGCAGUUUUGAGUGAAAAAAUAUUUCACGGUAGGCACUGGAAAUGAUCUUCAGUGCAGAGUUACUGCCUAGCAAGCAUGAAAUUCUAGCUUCAAUCAUAGUGCUCACACACAUGCAUACACAUGUGCGAGAAUGCAUACACAUGUAUGUACACACACACACACAUACGAAAGGAGAAGCUUAGACUCUUACAGCUACUGCAGUGGCAGAAGUUAGGACUCUGUUUUCACUCUCAGCAAUUGUGUGAUUUUCUGAAUAUUCUGUAAGGCUGAACAGUAUCACGGUGUAGCUUUUUUAGUUUUUUUUUUAUCGUGAGCAUAUGAGCUAUUCCCCCUGCCCCCUAGGAAAAUCAUAUUUCAAAUACACCAACUUACUAAGACACCAGUCUUCUUGUCUUCAUUUGCAUGUAAUAUUUACAAACCUUAAUUAGUCUCCACCUUGUUACUGUGCAAACUCUUAGGAUCACUUAGAUAUAGCUUUGUGAAUGGCUUCAUUUGUUCAUUUAUUAGAAAUAUAUAAUUUACUCAUUAAGCUACAAAUAUUUAAAUGGCCCCGACUUGGCUUUCAAAGAGUAUUUCACCUCUUUUCCUUGACUUUAUAUGUAUAGUUUUCAUAAUAGAAUAUAGCUAAAAGUAGGAAAAAUAUAGACUCUGGUAUCUUCUUGGUAAAAUCAUUUGAAGUGAUGUAAUGGUCAAAUGCAAACGAAGGCACCAUUUUAAUGCUGUACUGAAGACACUCCUGGUAUUCAGGACAUUUGUACCUAAAGAUACCUGGUAUUAAAUACUCAGAAAAACUGUUGACAUUAGAUUUAUGACUUCAAGGACUUUUCUUUGUUUCAAUAAAUGUAGUAUUAUACUGUUUACAAAAUGUUCUCAAAGGUUUUCUUAUGAAUGUAAUCGGGAGUCUGUUGCUACAAUGUCCCAUGACUAAGCCGUGACUUAGUUGGUUGAGGACAUUCAUAAAAGGAUACAAAGAAAAGCAGAAAAUGAGAGCCAGCCUCAUUAAAGCCACUUAAAAACACCACAGUUCUGGUAGUUUGAGCAUAUCCAAUGGCUGCUUUGAGUGUCAACUUAGCAAAUCUGUGCUCCCAAAGAUCAAGUUGGGGUGUGUAGGUACUGACACGGAUCCCUAUGUUUAGGAUCCCUGGAGCUCUGAGAGAGACAGUCACUUAUUGGGCAUUUGCUUUACUAUCUGACUGCCCACAGGUAACAGUUGCAUACAGACUUCCAUCCUGGCACCUGUCUGCAGCAUUGUUUUUUUUUGAUUCAAUAUACACAUGAAUUUGGAUUGCAGUUUUCUGAUCUGGGUGUCUUCUAUCUAUUUUAAGGGCAUACAUACAUUUCCAUAUGUAUGUGUUUACAGGGCUCUCAGGUUUAGAAUGUUAAGCUUUAUGUAUUUAAUUAAUUAAUUAAUUAAUUAAUUAAUUUCUUUAUUUAUUUCUCCUAUGCUACAGUUGUUACAGAGCACACAUUAUUUGUGUGUGUUAAUUAGAGUGUAAUUUUAAAUUAAUUAAUUUUGUGGAUUCAAAAUGUUAAAAGCCCAUGUCUAAUUUUCCUUCUUAAAGUUUUGAAGUAGGUAGCACAGUUUGUUAAAGAAUGAGAUAUAAGAUAAUAUCAUAUAUGCAUAUGUAGAUAUCUGUAUAUAAAUAAAUUAAUGGAGAAUCGUAAAGGUUAAAAGUAUCUCAUUUUUCAAGGAAAAUGUCACCAAUAUUCACUAGGUUCUUUAGGCACAGAAGGUCACAUUCAUGCAUGUCCUACUGGCUAACUCAAACAAAAAUAGUCUCUGAGGCAGAGACCUGCAGCACUGGUGCCAACUUCCACGACAUAACCAAGAAUUUCUUUAUUUAGAACGUCCCAUGUGUUAUUUUUUAAUCUCUGGAAUCUCAGGGAUUUUCCCAUCCCUCUACAUGCUUGAUACAUUCCUGGGCAUGGCAACCCCUGUUGGACUCCUGAAACUUUCCUAUUUUAUUUUUAAAAUGUGGCCAGUGACUGUUUCUGUGACAAAGGGUGAGAUUCCCAACGCUGCAUCACAACAUAUCCGAAGACCAUCGUGGGCUACAGAAACCAACUCAGUGAGCCACCAAGGUGUCCCUUAAGGAACCAUUGAUAGUAAAGAUUAAAAACUCGAGAUCUGUGUGAGCCUGGGGUGGGGGAAGAAUUAUGUGGCAACAUUGCUAAGUGCUUGAUAUCAUUCUCUACCAUUCUGAGACCACAGUUCAUCUUUGCCCAAGAAAGCAUACAUAUUUAAUCUUUUUACUUCAAGUUUUAGUAGAUACAGUAGGCUUGAAGGUUGGUAAUCCAUUUGCUUUCCACACAAGUAAUGGCAAUUUAGGUCUUGAGCCAGACUGUGAUAAUCUCUAAGGCAGUUAUCCUAACCACAUAGGCCUUUUGGGUUGUAUAUGGGAAACUAUUAAUAUAUACGUGAACAUUUUAUCCUAUUUCCACAUUGUGUUUAUGAUGUAAACACAUCACAGUCUUUACAAUAAUGCACAAUGCACAACUCAGAGAACUCCUUUUCACUCAUGAAUAUCUGAGUCUGAGAUUCACACAAACUGUACUUUUGUUUGACUCCAAAAUGUGGGUGCCAAAUGAAUCUACUGCACUAGGCUUAUGAACACUACUGCAACUGUGCAGCCACGAUUUCUCUACUGGGAGAAUUGUUUCAGCAGAUAAACCAUCUGGCUUGAAACACAGCCUUCUUUGAAAAUAUUCCCCAUUAUGUUAGCUCUGAAACAAUGUGUACAACUAUGUUCCAGUGGAGGACAUGGUUAACAGAAAUUCAAUGUCAAACAAUCUCUUCUCUGUAAUCCCUGGUAAAUGUUAAAAAGAGGUAAUCAAAAUGCAAGAUUUUAAUUCUUUAAAGAAUCAUUGUGAGUGUGUCUGUCCUAAGAUGAGGAAAAUUUGGGAAAUAUUUAA